rnacentral:lncRNA from 1 species
GCUAUAUACAGGGGGUACCGGUACCGAGUCAGUGUGGAGACUAUAUACAGGGUGGCACCGGUACCGAGUCAGUGUGGAGACUAUAUACAGGGGGUACCGGUACCGAGUCAGUGUGGAGACUAUAUACAGGGGGUACCGGUACCGAGUCAGUGUGGAGGCUAUAUACAGGGGGUACCGGUACCGAGUCAAUGUGGAGGCUAUAUACAGGGGGUACCGGUACAGAGUCAGUGUGGAGGCUAUAUACAGGGGGUACCAGUACAGAGUCAAUGUGGAGGCUAUAUACAGGGGGUACCGGUACAGAGUCAGUGUGGAGACUAUAUACAGGGGGCACCAGUACAGAGUCAAUGUGGAGGCUAUAUACAGGGGGCACCAGUACAGAGUCAAUGUGGAGGCUAUAUACAGGGGGCACCAGUACAGAGUCAAUGUGGAGACUAUAUACAGGGGGUACCGGUGCCGAGUCAGUGUGGAGACUAUAUACAGGGGGUACCGGUACAGAGUCAGUGUGGAGGCUAUAUACAGGGGGUACCAGUACAGAGUCAGUGUAGAGGCUAUAUACAGGGGGUACCAGUACCGAGUCAGUGUGGAGGCUAUAUACAGGGGGUACCGGUACCGAGUCAGUGUGGAGGCUAUAUACAGGGGGUACCAGUACCGAGUCAGUGUGGGGGCUAUAUACAGGGGUACCGGUACCGAGUCAAUGUGUGGGGCUACAGGUUAGUGGAGGUAAUCUGUACAUGAAGGUGGGGGUGAAGUGACUAUGAUUAGGUAACAAGCAAACAGCGAGUAGCAGUAGUCAACAAUAGACUAAUGACACAAAUACCAAAAGAUAGUCAUUGGGUGGAGUUUUCCUUUGAACAGCCCUACAAGCAAGCUGCACAUGUAAACACAGUCAGCACAGAGACUGG